UUGCAUCUAUUCGACAGACCAGGAGCAUUUACUGUCUGCUACUAACAUUUCCACUACAGAUCCAAGAAAAACAUGCCCUCGUGCCUUCUGUCUGUCUGAUUGUGGUGGCCAAGAUUGAAUAGGGAAAUACAUGA
rnacentral:snoRNA from 1 species